GACGAACGCUGGCGGCGUGCUUAACACAUGCAAGUCGAACGAAGUGGCGAACGGGUGAGUAAUACGUGGGUGACCUGCACUCCUUUUGGGGAUAAGCCUUGGAAACGGGGUCUAAUACCCAUUAAAGGGGGAUGGGCUCGCGGCCUAUCAGCUGGUUGGUGGGGUGAUGGCCUACCAAGGCGGUGACGGGUAGCCGGCGUGAGAGGGUGACCGGCCACAUGGGCACGGGGAUACCGCCGAGACGCCCACGGGAGGCAGCAGUGGGGGAUAUUGGACAAUGGGCGAAAGCCUGAUGCAGCGACGCCGCGUGGGGGCUGAGGGCUGUCGGGUUGUAAACCUCUGUCGGUAUCGAACGGGUAUGUGGAGGAGAAGGGCCGGCUAACUACGUGCCAGCAGUCGGGGUAAAUAC
rnacentral:rRNA from 1 species